rnacentral:rRNA from 1 species
AGUGAACGCUGGCGGUAGGCCUAACACAUGCAAGUCGAACGGCAGCACAGUAAGAGCUUGCUCUUACGGGUGGCGAGUGGCGGACGGGUGAGGAAUACAUCGGAAUCUACUUUUUCGUGGGGGAUAACGUAGGGAAACUUACGCUAAUACCGCAUACGACCUACGGGUGAAAGCAGGGGAUCUUCGGACCUUGCGCGACUGAAUGAGCCGAUGUCGGAUUAGCUAGUUGGCGGGGUAAAGGCCCACCAAGGCGACGAUCCGUAGCUGGUCUGAGAGGAUGAUCGGCCACACUGGAACUGAGACACGGUCCAGACUCCUACGGGAGGAAGCAGUGGGGAAUAUUGGACAAUGGGGGCAAGCCUGAUCCAGCCAGACCGCGUGGGUGAAGAAGGCCUUCGGGUUGUAAAGCCCUUUUGUUGGGAAAGAAAAGCAGCAGGUUAAUACCCCGCUGUUCUGACGGUACCCAAAGAAUAAGCACCGGCUAACUUCGUG